rnacentral:ncRNA from 1 species
UCCAUCGUGAGGUGGAAUCUGAAGGAAGCUGGAUGUGGGGAACAUACUAACCCAUGGGCAAAUCUCUGGUCUGACGAACAGAAAUCACAUUAGGCCAUGCAUGAGGGUAAGGCUGCGCAACAAGUCAAAGCCCAAUAGCUGCACGGAAUCAUGUAUGGUAAAUGUGGCAGACGGAUGGAGAGAAAGAAACGUGU